rnacentral:misc_RNA from 1 species
GUUUUGGAGGAAUGAAGCCGGAAUUUCCAACAACUGGCUCAAGGAUGAUUGCAGCAAUCUCACCUUUAUUGGCAUUGAAAAUGGAUUCUACAGCUGAUAUAUCAUUGAAAGGGGCAGUAAGAGUUUCGUAGGUAGCUGCUUUCGGGACACCAGGAGAAUCAGGAAGGCCCAACGUUGCCACUCCACUACCAGCCUUGACAAGGAAUGGAUCAGCAUGGCCAUGGUAGCAUCCCUCAAAUUUGAUGAGUUUCUCCUUGCCAGUAAAAGCACGGGCAAGCCGAAGCACACCCAUGCAUGCUUCUGUACCAGAGUUAACAAAUCG